rnacentral:tRNA from 1 species
GGAGGGAUACCCAAGUGGCUAAAGGGGGCAGACUGUAAAUCUGUUGGCUCGGCCUUCGAUGGUUCGAAUCCAUCUCCCUCCACCA